UGAAGAAGUGAGCCUGCAGAUAUUUGUUAUUAAAUUCCAUAUUUCGGUAAAAGUUAUACUGAGAAUCAUCCCUGGGGGGAAACGGGUGACUCCCGCUGGAAAAGUCACAUGUUCUCGUAGAGAAAAUUAAUUUUUACUCUAAGGGAUAACAGUGUGUGUGGCCUGCAUAGACUUCUACCACUAGAGCAUAGCAAAAUCGCGUGGGUGUGGGCGUGGGAUAACUUAAUAUUAUUAAAUUAGCAUUUAUAACAGGCGAAUUAUAACAUAAUUAUAACUGGAUUGUAUUCACAGUGUUGUAAAAAGAUAUCAAGCACGCCUCUUUCGUAACGAAUUUGAAGGGGGUUGCAAUUCAUUUUUUUAUAGGUAUCAAAAAAUAAAGGCAAAGUUUUGUAUUUUAUGGGUCAGGCCUAAGGGAGAGCAGGUUUUCUAGAAGAUCCUAAGGGAGAGCAGGUUUUCUAGAAGGCCCUAAGGAAGAGCAGGUUUUCUAGAAGAUCCUAAGAAAGAGCAGGUUUUCUAGAAGACCAUAGCACUUGGGGCAAAUUUAACACCCUAAGGGAAGUAACCCGGGCGAUAAUUUGACUUAGUAGGCUGUCGUUGAUCAGUACUGUACUCACACAAAAA